rnacentral:rRNA from 1 species
UACGUAGGGGGCAAGCGUUGUCCGGAAUCAUUGGGCGUAAAGAGCGUGUAGGCGGUCCGUUAAGUCGGCUGUGAAAGUCCAGGGCUCAACCCUGGGAUGCCGGUGGAUACUGUCGGGCUCGAGUCCGGAAGAGGAGUGUGGAAUUCCUGGUGUAGCGGUGAAAUGCGCAGAUAUCAGGAGGAACACCAAUGGCGAAGGCAGCACUCUGGGACGUGACUGACGCUGAGACGCGAAAGCGUGGGGAGCAAACAGG